rnacentral:rRNA from 1 species
CAAGACCUUGCGCUUUUGGAGCGGCCGAUGUCUGAUUAGCUAGUUGGUGAGGUAAAGGCUUACCAAGGCUUCGAUCAGUAGCUGGUCUGAGAGGACGACCAGCCACACUGGGACUGAGACACGGCCCAGACUCCUACGGGAGGCAGCAGUGGGGAAUUUUGGACAAUGGGGGAAACCCUGAUCCAGCAUGCCGCGUGAGUGAAGAAGGCCUUCGGGUUGUAAAGCGCUUGCAGCCAGAACGAAAAGGGCACGGCUAAGACCCGUGACAAAUGACGGUACCGGAAGAAGAAGCACCGGCUAACUACGUGCCAGCAGCCGCGGUAAUACGUAGGGUGCAAGCGUUAAUCGGAAUUACUGGGCGUAAAGCGUGCGCAGGCGGUUUUGUAAGUCAGAUGUGAAAUCCCCGGGCUUAACCUGGGAACU